UUUGCUGACCUCUCUGAGGCUGCCAACCGGAACAACGAUGCCCUGCGCCAGGCAAAGCAGGAGUCAAACGAAUACCGGAGACAGGUGCAGUCACUCACCUGCGAAGUGGAUGCCCUUAAAGGCACUGUGAGUACCAUGUAGCAGGGAAGGGCAGAAAAUGUCGUGCUCACUACUGUCCUGCUGACUAGGUUAACAAUGAGACCUGUACAAAUGAAUUAAACACACACACAUGCACACCCAUAUUCACCUACAUGCACAUACACACCUACACACACACACUCACACACAUACACACCCACACUUACACACAUACACACCUACACUCACACAGAAACGCACACACAUGCACACACAUAUUCACCUACACGCACACAUACACACAUACAUACACAUCUACACACACUCACACAUACACACCUACACACACUCACACACAUAUACACAUACACACCCAAACUCACACACAUACACACCUACACUCACACGCAUACACACAUACACACACUCACACAUGCGCACAUACACACACACAUACACACUCACACACAUAUACACCCACACACUCAUACACACAUACACACUUAUCCAAAGAUAAUGAAUUAUCA
rnacentral:lncRNA from 1 species